rnacentral:rRNA from 1 species
GACGAACGCUGGCGGCGUGCUUAACACAUGCAAGUCGAACGGAAAGGCCCAGCUUGCUGGGUACUCGAGUGGCGAACGGGUGAGUAACACGUGGGUGAUCUGCCCUGCACUCUGGGAUAAGCCUGGGAAACUGGGUCUAAUACCGGAUAUGACCAACUGUCGCAUGGUGGUUGGUGGAAAGCUUUUGCGGUGUGGGAUGGGCCCGCGGCCUAUCAGCUUGUUGGUGGGGUAAUGGCCUACCAAGGCGACGACGGGUAGCCGACCUGAGAGGGUGAUCGGCCACACUGGGACUGAGACACGGCCCAGACUCCUACGGGAGGCAGCAGUGGGGAAUAUUGCACAAUGGGCGGAAGCCUGAUGCAGCGACGCCGCGUGAGGGAUGACGGCCUUCGGGUUGUAAACCUCUUUCACCAGGGACGAAGCGUGAGUGACGGUACCUGGAGAAGAAGCACCGGCCAACUACGUGCCAGCCGCCGCCGUAACAC